rnacentral:rRNA from 1 species
CCUACGGGGCGCAGCAGUAGGGAAUAUUGCUCAAUGGGGGAAACCCUGAAGCAGCAACGCCGCGUGGAGGAUGAAGGUUUUCGGAUUGUAAACUCCUUUUGUUAGAGAAGAUAAUGACGGUAUCUAACGAAUAAGCACCGGCUAACUCCGUGCCAGCAGCCGCGGUAAUACGGAGGGUGCAAGCGUUACUCGGAAUCACUGGGCGGAAAGAGCGCGUAGGCGGGAUAGCAAGUCAGAUGUGAAAUCCUAUGGCUUAACCAUAGAACUGCAUUUGAAACUGUUAUUCUAGAGUAUGGGAGAGGUAGGUGGAAUUCUUGGUGUAGGGGUAAAAUCCGUAGAGAUCAAGAGGAAUACUCAUUGCGAAGGCGACCUGCUAGAACAUAACUGACGCUGAUGCGCGAAAGCGUGGGGAGCAAACAGGAUUAGAUACCCCAGUAGUC